rnacentral:rRNA from 1 species
UUAAGGUCUAACCUGCCCAAUGAGGAUUUAAAUGGCCGCAGUAUUUUGACUGUGCAAAGGUAGCAUAAUUAUUAGUUUUUUAAUUAAAAGCUUGUAUGAAGGGUUGGACGAGAUAAAAUCUGUCUUUAUUUAAAUUAAGAUAAAAUUUAACUUUUAAGUCAAAAGGCUUAAAUUUUUAUAAAAGACGAGAAGACCCUAUAGAUCUUUAUUUAGUUUAAAUUUUAAUAAUUUAGGAUUAUUUUAAUUUAAAGUUAAGGCUAAAUUUUAUUGGGGUAAUAUAGAGAUUUAAUAAAUUCUUUUUUAUUUAUAACAUUGAUUUAUGAAUUUAUGAUCCAUUAAUAUUGAUUAUAAGAUUAAGUUACCUUAGGGAUAACAGCGUAAUUUUUUUGGAGAGCUCAUAUCGAUAAAAAAGUUUGCGACCUCGAUGUUGGAUUAAAAAUUAGCCCGGGUGAAGAAGUUCGGGAUUUUGGUCUGUUCGACCAUUAAAUUUUUACAUGAUCUGAGUUCAGACCGGCGUAAGCCAGGUCGGUUUCUAUCUUUAUUUAAUUAAAAUAUUUUAGUACGAAAGGACCAAAUAUUUAAUAUAAUUAUAUUUUUUAUUUGAAUGAUAUUGUUACUUUGGCAGAUUAGUGCAAUGAAUUUAGAAUUCAUGAAUGA